AACGCACGAGACCUGCGGACCUGCGGAAGGAUCAUUAUUGAAUCCUUGAUUUUACAAGAAGUUGAGAGCAACUUGUACUGCUACUCUUGCUUCUUCAAACAAACGAUCACAACUAUAAUAUGACAGCAAUUGUGUGAGGAAUGAUUUGGUCUCUGGUGCGUUUUGUUUGUAUGUAUAUGUUGGCUGCUGCCACAUACUCUGCAAUGCAAUACACAACGGAGAAGACACUAAAAGUAUUUG
rnacentral:misc_RNA from 1 species